CCGGUAAACGGCGGCCGUAACUAUAACGGUCCUAAGGUAGCGAAAUUCCUUGUCGGGUAAGUUCCGACCUGCACGAAUGGCGUAAUGAUGGCCAGGCUGUCUCCACCCGAGACUCAGUGAAAUUGAACUCGCUGUGAAGAUGCAGUGUACCCGCGGCAAGACGGAAAGACCCCGUGAACCUUUACUAUAGCUUGACACUGAACAUUGAGCCUUGAUGUGUAGGAUAGGUGGGAGGCUUUGAAGUGUGGACGCCAGUCUGCAUGGAGCCGACCUUGAAAUACCACCCUUUAAUGUUUGAUGUUCUAACGUUGGCCCCUGAUCGGGGUUGCGGACAGUGUCUGGUGGGUAGUUUGACUGGGGCGGUCUCCUCCUAAAGAGUAACGGAGGAGCACGAAGGUUGGCUAAUCCUGGUCGGACAUCAGGAGGUUAGUGCAAUGGCAUAAGCCAGCUUGACUGCGAGCGUGACGGCGCGAGCAGGUGCGAAAGCAGGUCAUAGUGAUCCGGUGGUUCUGAAUGGAAGGGCCAUCGCUCAACGGAUAAAAGGUACUCCGGGGAUAACAGGCUGAUACCGCCCAAGAGUUCAUAUCGACGGCGGUGUUUGGCACCUCGAUGUCGGCUCAUCACAUCCUGGGGCUGAAGUAGGUCCCAAGGGUAUGGCUGUUCGCCAUUUAAAGUGGUACGCGAGCUGGGUUUAGAACGUCGUGAGACAGUUCGGUCCCUAUCUGCCGUGGGCGCUGGAGAACUGAGGGGGGCUGCUCCUAGUACGAGAGGACCGGAGUGGACGCAUCACUGGUGUUCGGGUUGUCAUGCCAAUGGCACUGCCCGGUAGCUAAAUGCGGAAGAGAUAAGUGCUGAAAGCAUCUAAGCACGAAACUUGCCCCGAGAUGAGUUCUCCCUGACUCCUUGAGAGUCCUGAAGGAACGUUGAAGACGACGACGUUGAUAGGCCGGGUGUGUAAGCGCAGCGAUGCGUUGAGCUAACCGGUACUAAUGAACCGUGAGGCUUAACCUU
rnacentral:rRNA from 1 species